rnacentral:rRNA from 1 species
AGAGCGAACGCUGGCGGCAGGCCUAAUACAUGCAAGUCGAACGAGCCCUUCGGGGCUAGUGGCGGACGGGUGAGUAACACGUGGGAACGUGCCUUUUGGUUCGGAACAACUCAGGGAAACUUGAGCUAAUACCGAAUGUGCCCUUCGGGGGAAAGAUUUAUCGCCAUUAGAGCGGCCCGCGUCUGAUUAGCUAGUUGGUGAGGUAAAGGCCCACCAAGGCUACGAUCAGUAGCUGGUCUGAGAGGAUGAUCAGCCACACUGGGACUGAGACACGGCCCAGACUCCUACGGGAGGCAGCAGUAGGGAAUCUUGCGCAAUGGGCGAAAGCCUGACGCAGCCAUGCCGCGUGAAUGAUGAAGGUCUUAGGAUUGUAAAAUUCUUUCAGCGGGACGAUAAUGACGGUACCCGCAGAAGAAGCCCGGCUAACUUCGUGCCAGCAGCCGC